rnacentral:rRNA from 1 species
GGAAUCUUUCACAAUGGGCGCAAGCCUGAUGGAGCAACGCCGCGUGCAGGAUGAAGGCCUUCGGGUUGUAAACUGCUUUUAAGUUCGAGAAAUAUGAUGGUAGGACUUGAAUAAGGAUCGGCUAACUACGUGCCAGCAGCCGCGGUCAUACGUAGGAUCCGAGCAUUAUCCGGAGUGACUGGGUGUAAAGAGUUGCGUAGGUGGCAUAGUAAGUAGAUAGUGAAAUCUGGUGGCUCAACCAUUCAGACUAUUAUCUAAACUGCUAAGCUCGAGAGCGUUAGGGGUAGCUGGAAUUUCUAGUGUAGGAGUGAAAUCCGUAGAUAUUAGAAAGAACACCGAUAGCGUAGGCAGGCUACUGGGACGUUUCUGACACUAAGGCACGAAAGCGUAGGGAGCAAACG